CGAGCACGUGGUGUGCUCCGCGCCGUCCGGGCCACCUCCGCCCGCUGUGGGCGCGCGAGCGGCCCGGCGGCGGGUGCGGGCCCGGCGGCCGCGGGCUGCCCGACAACCUGUCGACACCGGCUCGCAGCUGUCGGACCCUGGGCUCUGCUGUUUUCCAAGCCGAGCUGUGACUGCUCUUUCAGGAAGACGUCUCGGCGCCUGAUUCUCCGCCGUUGGGGCGGCGGGGCCGGGGCUGGGCGGGUGACAGCCGGUGGGGGGGGGGUGGAGGGGGACGGCCCUCUCCUCCCCACCCCCGCCCCCAAGGCCGGCGCUGCCUUGGCCUCCCCCGGACCCCUGGGCAGAAGUGCACCCCGGUGCCCGGGCUGCGCCACCGAGCCUGGCGUGGCGUGACACCCGCGUGGCCCCCGCCCGGCAGUGACCGGCCUCGCUGCACCUGGAGAAGCGGGAAGCGGCCGAGCUCUGCGGGCUUCUCCGUUCGUGAAAACUUUGAGAAAGGGCAGCUGAGAAGCCAGUUCAAGGGGACAAACAGAUGCCAUCCACAGUGACAGGACCCAGGAAGCCGCCCCGCUCGGCGACGGCGAGGCGAGUGGCAAGCAGUCCCAGGCAGCGGCCGAGAAGCGCCCAGGACCGCAGGGCCGUAACCGGGUGCCCUUGGGCGCCAGGCGGGGACCGGAGCGGGGCGGCUGCGGCGAUCCCCGUGCCCUGGGGGCCUGGCCUGCUCUCUGCUGCCGCGUCAGGGCCAGGCCCGCGCCGGGUCAAGAGCGGCACCUGUGAGCGCCCCGAAAGCGAGGGCCUGGGGACCUCGCUGCGGAUGCGCUGCGGUGGGACCAGAGCGGGGCUGGCGGGAGGCGACUCCAGGAAAACCCGGGAAAGAAAACACCCGGAAGGCGCCCCGGGAUGGUCUGAAGCUCGCAGCAGUGCCCGCAGAGCAGGUGCCGGGAUGCAGCCGGGGCUCGGGUCCCGGACUGUGGCGGCGGGAGACCAGCGAGACCAGCGGCCCAGCGCGCGGAGCUCCGGGACCGGCGGCAGGAGGAGAAGAAGGGCCCGCAGUCACCUGGCCUGGCGUGCGAUGUCGCCAUCCCCGAGCGUCGGAGGAAGUGAAUUACAUGCGUGUGCACACACGUAAAUAUUUUAUAAGCCUCCCCUUAAUUAACCAAAUCAUUUCCAUUAUGCCUCCAAUGUGAUCAACAGCAGCGGUGUGAGGGUUUUCAGGGCUUAUAAUUCGAUGUCACCAGACGGUCGCUCGGGGGCAGAGGUACAAUCGCGGAGCCAGCUGCACUUGUAUUUAUUUGUUUUUCUACCGUGUUCCUGUAGGGCUCCAUUAUGCAGUUUUUAAUUAGUUUGUGUUUGUAUUUCACCCGUCCCAAAUCAAUGCCAUCCCGGAGCAAGGCGAUGUAAAUUCUCGCAGUACAGGUGUAGCUGCUGGCUUGGGAACACUCGGAAACACGCGUCUGACAAAUGAGAGCGGGCGCCACACAGCCCACUGUCGGCUCCUGGCAGCCAAGAGGCGCAGACCAAAGCCAGCGGGGACUUGUGCGCCCCUGUGAGCGCCAAGCCCGCGUGCUGGGUUCCUAAUUCCAGUAGAGGGAGCCGCACAGAGCAAGGCGUGGGGGGCAAAGUGACUUUUCAUUUUGCCCGAGUCCUGCGGUCCUUGGGCCUAGUGGGCGAGGCUGGAGCCCGCGUGCAAUUAUCCUAGCUCCCCCCGGAAGAUCACUGUGGCACCUGUCGGGUUCCGUGGAGCCUUUUAACAGGACCCAAGGCAGACAGCCCGAAUUUCUGGAAUCUCCAGGCAUGAGGACCGCCUCCCCACACCCCCGCCCCCUUGUGCUGGCUGUCUCUUCCUUCUUGAAAUGACCUCUGUGGAGUGCCUGUAAAUCUAUCCCUCCAGCCACGGGGGAAUUCUUUUAAAGCUUUCUUUUUUGUCAGGAAUAAGAGAUUGUUCAUCUUUAACUAGACCACAUAGAAAUUAUGAUUCAACAGCAGUGUGUAUUUAAUUAGAGUAAUCUCACUUGAAUUUAAUUACCUAAUGAAUUAUUUGUUUAAAAGGUAGAAUGUCUUGUUUGCCAAGUGCGGUGCAGACCUCCGAUAAGAACUUCUGUUAUAAGGACAUUACAGCUUAAAAGCAGUCAUGUGUUAAGGUUUAUAUUUUAACUCCUUGAGUGUGUAACUGUUAACUGUUAACGUGCUACUCGCACAAAAGCUCUGAUACGGAAGGGUGCCGGGAGAGCACGCACAGAUUCUGUUCUGUGCCCACAUCCUUUUGGAAAUUGGCAUCCUCUACCUUGCCACCUGAGCCUAUUUUUAAACUUCCUGCAUUUUGCUUUCAGUGACACUUUCCUUUUUUCUGCUGCACGAUGACAGCUGUCUAUUAGAGGGCUCAUUUUAUGAUUAGUAUUUGCAAUGAAGGGCACAUCCUUCAGCAAAACUCCCGCCCAGCUCCACUGUGUCCCAGAGGCACCCACAAUAGCAGCAGGAAGCCUUUCUGGGCUCAUCAAACCUCAUGGGAAUGGAAGGUACCAAGGCCCAGACUUUGACCUUAACCCUUCAUUCCUAAACCAUGGAAGAAUCUCCUUGCCUCUUGGUUUCCAAAAGCAAGAGCCCAGAACUCUAGGCCACGCCACCCUUUCUGGGAGGCUCACAAGUUGACUCGUCUCUCGGUAAUGCUAACGAUUUUUGCAGCUAAUGCCAAGUUCGAAAUCCCAGCCAAGGGAGGAGGGUGACGUGCUGGAAGUCUAACAUGAUUUCUGUGUUUUUCUGUGGCUAAGUGACUACAGGAGCAGACUGCUUCUCCUCCUCUAUCCCGUGUGAUGGACAGAAUCGUCUGUCCCUGUGUGAUGGAAUUUCAGCAGAGGAAUGAAUGGAUAGGGUGAGGGAGGCAGCAGGAAAUGUUUCGCCCACUCACUGAAGAGAGACCAGGAAAUAAGAACGCCUGAAAUCUGCUGGAUUGAAUUCCACUGUCAUUUUCAUUAAUAUUUCAUCAAUCAAAUAAUUUACUUUAAUUGCAGAUUCGGGCACUAUUAUCACAUAAAUAUUAAAUAGUAUUAAUAUAGUGUCCAUCUAAGUAAGAAUGAGCUUAUAAGAAAGUACAACACGUUGAUAAGAAUUGUGAAUUUCUUGUUUCUUUCCUGUAUCCCUGAUGUGUAUCAUAACUGUGCAUUUUGCAGCUGGGUGUCCCAACAACCAAUAGCGGUUAAAUUGUAAUAUAAAUUUGGGACUCCUGCGUGGCUCAGUCGAUGAAGCGUCCGACCCUGGCUCAGGUCAUGAUCUCAAGGUUCGUGAGUUUGAGCCCCGCGUCGGGCUCUGUGCUGACAGCUCAGAGCCUGGAGCCUGCUUCGGAUUCUGUGUCCCCCUCUCUGUCUGCCCCUCCCUCACUCGCACUCUGUCCCUCUCUGUCUCUCAAAAAUAAACAUUAAAAAAAUUACA
rnacentral:lncRNA from 1 species